GUAGGUGGCGAGCGUUGUCCGGAAUUACUGGGUGUAAAGGGAGCGUAGGCGGGCAGGCAAGUCAGGCGUGAAAUAUAUCGGCUCAACCGGUAACGGCGCUUGAAACUGCAGGUCUUGAGUGAAGUAGAGGUUGGCGGAAUUCCUGGUGUAGCGGUGAAAUGCGUAGAUAUUAGGAGGAACACCAGUGGCGAAGGCGGCCAACUGGGCUUUUACUGACGCUGAGGCUCGAAAGUGUGUGGAGCAAACAGGAUUAGAUACCCUGGUAGUCCACACCGUAAACGAUGAUUACUAGGUGUGGGGGGACUAACCCCUUCCGUGCCGGAGUUAACACAAUAAGUAAUCCACCUGGGGAGU
rnacentral:rRNA from 1 species